GCGAGAGUGGCGGAAUGGCAGACGCGCCAGACUUAGGAUCUGGUGGGACAUCCCGUGGGGGUUCAAGUCCCCCCUCUCGCACCA
rnacentral:tRNA from 1 species